GGGUGCUGGCGCUUCCUGCUGGACGGAGGGAGUUUCUGCAAUCAGAAUUAUCUUUUCAGGACAAAGCUUCGACCUGAGACCUUUCCAAGAAGUCUUAAAUUGAGCACAUUUACAAGAUGGCUCUACUGGCAGAGCAACAGAGCGGAACAGCAGAGAAGGAGAGAAGAGAAGAAGCAGCUGGACAUUGGAGAGAAGCAGCUUGACUUCAGAGGGACAACUUGACAGCAGGACUUUGGAGAAGAGUUCAGCUGGGGAUGGAACUGAGCUGGCCGAACUCUAAGGGAAGACUACCUUCCCACUCCAUCCUUCUCACUCCAUCCCCUUUCCAGCUGCCCAGCCUGCUGGAAGUCACUUUCAUAGGCAAUAAAACCCCCCACAUUUACCAUC